rnacentral:lncRNA from 1 species
GAGCCAUUGUGGUUACAAGGGAGGUAUCGAUGGCCGUUAGAAUUCUUGGGAUUGAGCAUCUUCACAGCAGAUAGGACAGUGCAAAAGCCAAAACUAUGAUACCAAGACUGAAAUCAGCCUGCCAAUUUUAAUUUACCGGACCCUAAAGACUCAGUUGUUUUAUUUUUUCCUCCUCCAGAAUAAAAGUCAUAUCUUUCAAAAGAUUUAAGUGGAUUUUGAGAGAGAAAUUAAAAAAUGUUCUCUAAAAACAUGGCCCAAGAGCCCUUUAUUAUUAAAGAUUAAAACUAAUAUUCAAGUCAUUUUAGAAGAAUCAGGGUAAAAAUUUGG